AUUGAACGCUGGCGGCAUGCUUUACACAUGCAAGUCGAACGGUAACAGGCCUUCGGGUGCUGACGAGUGGCGAACGGGUGAGUAAUGCAUCGGAACGUGCCCAAUCGUGGGGGAUAACGUAGCGAAAGUUACGCUAAUACCGCAUAAGCCCUGAGGGGGAAAGCAGGGGAUCGCAAGACCUUGCGCGAAUGGAGCGGCCGAUGUCAGAUUAGCUAGUUGGUGGGGUAAAGGCCUACCAAGGCGACGAUCUGUAGUGGGUCUGAGAGGAUGAUCCGCCACACUGGGACUGAGACACGGCCCAGACUCCUACGGGAGGCAGCAGUGGGGAAUUUUGGACAAUGGGCGCAAGCCUGAUCCAGCCAUGCCGCGUGCGGGACGAAGGCCUUCGGUU
rnacentral:rRNA from 1 species